rnacentral:rRNA from 1 species
AUUGAACGCUGGCGGCAGGCCUAACACAUGCAAGUCGAACGGUAACAGGAAACAGCUUGCUGUUUCGCUGACGAGUGGCGGACGGGUGAGUAAUGUCUGGGAAACUGCCUGAUGGAGGGGGAUAACUACUGGAAACGGUAGCUAAUACCCAUAACGUCGCAAGACCAAAGAGGGGGACCUUCGGGCCUCUUGCCAUCGGAUGUGCCCAGAUGGGAUUAGCUAGUAGGUGGGGUAACGGCUCACCUAGGCGACGAUCCCUAGCUGGUCUGAGAGGAUGACCAGCCACACUGGAACUGAGACACGGUCCAGACUCCUACGGGAGGCAGCAGUGGGGAAUAUUGCACAAUGGGCGCAAGCCUGAUGCAGCCAUGCCGCGUGUAUGAAGAAGGCCUUCGGGUUGUAAAGUACUUUCAGCGGGGAUGAAGGGAGUAAAGUUAAUACCUUUGCUCAUUGACGUUACCCGCAGAAGAAGCACCGGCUAACUCCGUG